rnacentral:rRNA from 1 species
GAUGAACGCUGGCGGCGUGCUUAACACAUGCAAGUCGAACGGAAAGGCUCCUGCUUGCAGGGGUACUCGAGUGGCGAACGGGUGAGUAACACUGGGGUGAUCUGCCCUGCACUUCGGGAUAAGCCGGGGUAACUGGGUCUAAUACCGGAUAGGACGAUGGUUUGACUGCCAUUGUGGUAAGUUGUUCGGUGUGGGAUGAGCUCGCGGCCUAUCAGCUUGUUGGUGGGGUAAUGGCCUACCAAGGCGUCGACGGGUCGCCGGCCUGAGAGGGUGUACGGCCACAUUGGGACUGAGAUACCGCCCAGAAGCCUAAGGGAGGCAGGAGUGGGGAAUAUUGCACAAUGGGCGCAAGCCUGAUGCAGCGACGCCGCGUGGGGGAUGACGGCAUUCGUGUUGUAAACUCCUUUCGCUAGGGACGAAGCGAAAGUGACGGUACCUGGAGAAGAAGCACCGGCUAACUACGUG